UGAGUAACACGUAUCCAACCUGCCGUCUACUCUUGGACAGCCUUCUGAAAGGAAGAUUAAUACAAGAUGGCAUCAUGAGUUCACAUGUUCACAUGAUUAAAGGUAUUUCGGUAGACGAUGGGGAUGCGUUCCAUUAGAUAGUAGGCGGGGUAACGGCCCACCUAGUCUUCGAUGGAUAGGGGUUCUGAGAGGAAGGUCCCCCACAUUGGAACUGAGACACGGUCCAA
rnacentral:rRNA from 1 species